AGGAUUAUAGUUAAAUAUAACAUUUGGGUUGCAUUCAAAAAGUAUUGUUAAUCAAUUAAUCUUA
rnacentral:tRNA from 1 species